rnacentral:lncRNA from 1 species
CUCAUAUUUUACCAAAUUUCACCUUCAUUCGAGCGCCAAAACGGAUUCAAAUGCUGAGUGUUAAGUGUCCAGAUGACUCCAAAUAGGAAACACAUGGUAGACGCUUCAAAAACCAAUACUAUACGUACUAUUUCGUAAAUUGCUGAAAAGUGUACAGCAAUCAUGCUACAAAACGCAGACACGUAGUUCUUGAUUCGCUCCAUUUUCAUCCACAAGUCGUCAUAUUUCAAU